rnacentral:rRNA from 1 species
UAACACCAGCCCCCCGAGUGGUGGGGAUGAUUAUUUGGCCUAAAGCGUCCGUAGCCAGCUCGGUAAAUCUCUCGUUAAAUCCAGCGUCCUAAGCGUUGGGCUGCGAGGGGAACUGCCGAACUAGAGGGUGGGAGAGGUCAGCGGUAUUCCUGGGGUAGGGGCGAAAUCCAUUGAUCCCAGGAGGACCACCAGUGGCGAAGGCUGCUGACUAGAACACGCCUGACGGUGAGGGACGAAAGCUGGGGUAGCGAAUCGGAUUAGAUACCCGAGUAGUCCCAGCCGUAAACGAUGCAGGCUAGGUGUUGGGUCGGCCAUGCGCCGCCUCAGUGCCACAGGGAAGCCAUUAAGCCUGCCGCCUGGGGAGUACGGCCGCAAGGCUG